rnacentral:rRNA from 1 species
UACGUAGGUGGCAAGCGUUGUCCGGAAUUAUUGGGCGUAAAGCGCGCGCAGGCGGUCCUUUAAGUCUGAUGUGAAAGCCCACGGCUCAACCGUGGAGGGUCAUUGGAAACUGGGGGACUUGAGUGCAGGAGAGAAGAGUGGAAUUCCACGUGUAGCGGUGAAAUGCGUAGAGAUGUGGAGGAACACCGGUGGCGAAGGCGGCAUCCUGGACCAAUUCUGACACUGAGGAGCGAAAGCCAGGGGAGCAAACGGG